AUGAAGCAGUACAGUGAUAGGAAACGAACUGAAAGGCAUUUCGAAGUGGGUGAGUUUGUGUACUUGAAAUUGGUGUCUUAUCAGUUGCAAGCUUUAGCACCACAUAGCUACCACAAGUUGCAGCUAAGAUACUAUGGACCCUAUGAAAUCGUGGCAAAGGUAGGAUUGGUUGCCUACAAGUUAAAGUUACCUCUUGAAACCAAAAGACACAGACCUCCCCACCCUCAGAUCCUCACAAACCCUCAAAACACCAAUACGAUUGUGGAGUUGCAAGCUCUGAAAAUCCAGAAAUACAACUAUUUAGCAGGCCCGGCCCAGGCCCAGUGCCACAGGGGCAACUCGGAAGCUGGAAGACAGCAGCAUCAGCAUCCUACUAGCCAAGCAGAAGCUCAGGAAAUCGCCGCCCGACUCGUAAGCGACGCCGAGUCAAAGCGUCCUCGACUCGAGGAGGAGCAGCCCUACCGCCAACCCAGCCCCGUCUACAACCCUCCUCCUUACCCUGUUUUUACCCCGCAAUCAGGACAGUCUUAUGGUUCUCCAAGCACAAGCAAGAAAAUAACCAUACCAAAUGGGAAGGUUGGGGUAAUCAUUGGAAAACAAGGAGAAACGAUAAAAAGUCUACAACUUCAGUCAGGGGCCAAAAUUCAGAUAACCCGGGAUUCGGAAGCUGAUCCUACUUCUCUUACGAGGGAUGUGGACUUGACCGGUCACCUGAGCAGAUCAGUAGGGCAGAACAACUUAUCAGUGAUGUCCUAGCAGAGGCAGAUGCAGGGGUCUCUGCUCCGUCUACAAAUCAGGGAUUCAACUCAAUGCAACCUGGAUCAGAACAGUUUAUCAUGAAAGUACCCACUAAUAAGGUUGCUUUGAUCAUUGGCAAGGGAGGUGAGACGAUCAGGACUAUGCAAAGCAAGUCAGGAGCUCGUAUUCAGGUGGUACCAUUGCACCCUCCUCCUGGUGAUAUGUCAACUGAGAGAUCAGUACAUAUAAAUGGAACGACAGAGCAAAUUGAGGCAGCCAAAGAAUUGGUCAAUGAAGUAAUCAGCGGGAAGCGUAUAGUAAAUCCCUCUGGAACCAAUAGCUAUAUGCAGCAGUCUUACCCCCCUCCUGGUGGUUGGGCCCCACCAGGACAAGCUCCAAUUCAGCAACAGCAGCCCCAUUAUGGGUAUGCACAACCAGGAAGUUAUGCCCCUCCUGCCUCAUACUACGGAAACUAUCCUACACAGGUAGCAGGUUGGGAUCAUUCAAACCAAGUAGCCACGUCUCAGCCGCCUCAAGACAGUAGUGGAUACAAUUACUAUGGACAACCACCUCAGCUGGGGUCAGCUCCCCAAAAUCCUAACUACAACUACAAUCAGACACCUCCCGUCGCCAUCCAUGGUUAUGAUCAGGGAUAUGCUCAGCAGCCAGCAAGUUAUGGAGGCCAAGCUCCAGGAUCUGAUUACCAGCAACAGUACGCAACUACAGGAUAUGGACCACCUGCGGUGCCAUCCAGUGCGGAUGCAACUGCUUCUCAAAGUACCCAGCCUUCAGCUGCUUAUCCAGUUCCGUACAGCCAGCCAACAGCCAACCCUCAGGCUGGGUAUUGGACUCAUCCAAGCAGCACAGGUCAAGCACAUCCUGGUUAUUACCAAACAGGUUAUGGAGGGCAGCAGGGGGUUGAAGACCCUUCUGCAGCAUCUCAGCCCGCAGCAUAUGGACACGGUGAGUACCAUCAGCCAGAGCCUUCCCAUUAUGCCCCAGCAGUGAAUCCGCCUACAAACAGCGAGUCACAGCAUCAGCAGCAAGACCACUCACAGCUUCCAAGCAAUGGAUACGAAGAGCCAUCAGGUUAUGGUGGGGAAAGAACCGGCGACAAGAAUUCAGAUGGAGAUGCGUCGGCCCCUGCAACAGAGACUGUUGGUUCUGAAAGUUGAUAUCGCUCUCACAUAUUUCCUUCUGUUCUUUCUCUUUUCUUUCUUGAAAUGAUUUUUGAUAUUGCUCUCACAUACCAUCUGUGUGGCUGCAGGACAUUAUAUUUCUAGUCUUAACAUGUAGGAAUAUCUUGCUAGACAGCCGUUUAUUGUGUUCAUAUGUGAUGAUUAGCCGUCAACCGGCUGUCCAGGAGUCGCUGUUUUGGGGAUCUCUAGUUGUAUGUUAAUUUAAUUUCGUAAUACUUUCAGUCCCAAGGUCCAUGAAAUAUUUGUAAUCGAAUGGCGCCAUAAGAGCACGAAGGUAAUUUUUGUUGUUUGGUGAAUGCAUAAGACAGUUUGCCCGCGUUUGAUGUA